rnacentral:rRNA from 1 species
GACGAACGCUGGCGGCGUGCUUAACACAUGCAAGUCGAACGGAAAGGCCCGGCUUUUGUUGGGGGCUCGGGUGGCGCGCGGGGGGGAAGGACGAGAGUAACGUGCCCGUGACUUUGGGAUAACGGGUGGAAGCUGGGGCUAAUAGCGCAUAUGAGCUUUUGAUGCGCGGGGUGGGUUGGAAAGUUUGGGCGGUUGGGGUUGGACUCGCGGAUUAGCAGCUUGUUGGUCGGGUUGUGGCUGACGAAGGCUUUGACGGGUAGGCGGCCUGAGAGGGUGACCGGGGACAAUGGGCCUGCGAUAAGGCCCAGCAGCCUACGGGAGGCAGGAGCGGGGGAUAUUGCACAAAGGGCGGGAGCCUGAUUGAGCAAUGCCGGGUUCGGGAUGACGGCCUUCGGGUUGUAAACCGCUUUCGCCUGUGACGAAGCGUGAGUGACGGUAAUGGGUAAAGAAGCACCGGCUAACUACGUG